UACGUAGGGUGCAAGCGUUGUCCGGAAUUAUUGGGCGUAAAGAGCUCGUAGGCGGCUUGUUGCGUCGGCUGUGAAACCCCGGGGCUCAACCCCGGGCCUGCAGUCGAUACGGGCAGGCUAGAGUCCGGCAGGGGAGACUGGAAUUCCUGGUGUAGCGGUGAAAUGCGCAGAUAUCAGGAGGAACACCGGUGGCGAAGGCGGGUCUCUGGGCCGGAACUGACGCUAAGGAGCGAAAGCGUGGGGAGCGAACAGG
rnacentral:rRNA from 1 species